rnacentral:rRNA from 1 species
GACGAACGCUGGCGGCGUGCUUAACACAUGCAAGUCGAGCGGUAAGGCCCUUUCGGGGGUACACGAGCGGCGAACGGGUGAGUAACACGUGGGUGACCUGCCCUCAGCUCUGGGAUAAGCCUGGGAAACCGGGUCUAAUACUGGAUAUGACUCCAUGACGCAUGUUGUGGGGUGGAAAGCCUUGUGCGGCUGAGGAUGGGCCCGCGGCCUAUCAGCUUGUUGGG